ensembl:snoRNA LOC120100283 small nucleolar RNA SNORD115
GGGUCAAUGUUGACAACAAAAAGUCAUGGACAGAGAUGAAGUUAUAACAAUCAUGCUCAAUGGAAUAAUGCUGAGGCCC